AUGCACGCUGGCGGCGUGCUUAACCCCUGCCAGUCGAACGAAGCACUUUAUUUGAUUUCCUUCGGGACUGAUUAUUUUGUGACUGAGUGGCGGACGGGUGAGUAACGCGUGGGUAACCUGCCUUGUACAGGGGGAUAACAGUUGGAAACGGCUGCUAAUACCGCAUAAGCGCACGGCAUCGCAUGAUGCAGUGUGAAAAACUCCGGUGGUAUAAGAUGGACCCGCGUUGGAUUAGCUAGUUGGUGAGGUAACGGCCCACCAAGGCGACGAUCCAUAGCCGACCUGAGAGGGUGACCGGCCACAUUGGGACUGAGACACGGCCCAAACUCCUACGGGAGGCAGCAGUGGGGAAUAUUGCACAAUGGGCGAAAGCCUGAUGCAGCGACGCCGCGUGAGCGAAGAAGUAUUUCGGUAUGUAAAGCUCUAUCAGCAGGGAAGAUAAUGACGGUACCUGACUAAGAAGCACCGGCUAAAUACGUG
rnacentral:rRNA from 1 species